GCGCACGAACAGCGGCUUCAUCGCCCUUCCCUCCUCCCGACUUCCUCCUCCCGCUCGUCUAGCCGUUCAACUCGGCUAGCAGGCUUG
rnacentral:misc_RNA from 1 species